UCGGGAAUUUUGGGCAAUGGGCGAAAGCCUGACCCAGCAACGCCGCGUGAAGGAUGAAGUAUUUCGGUAUGUAAACUUCGAAAGAAUAGGAAGAAUAAAUGACGGUACUAUUUAUAAGGUCCGGCUAACUACGUGCCAGCAGCCGCGGUAAUACGUAGGGACCAAGCGUUGUUCGGAUUUACUGGGCGUAAAGGGCGCGUAGGCGGCAAUUCAAGUCAUCUGUGAAAUCUCCGGGCUUAACUCGGAACGGUCAGAUGAUACUGCUUUGCUAGAGUGCAGAAGGGGCAAUCGGAAUUCUUGGUGUAGCGGUGAAAUGCGUAGAUAUCAAGAGGAACACCUGAGGUGAAGACGGGUUGCUGGGCUGACACUGACGCUGAGGCGCGAAAGCCAGGGGAGCAAACAGGAUUAGAUACCCUCGUAGUCCCUGAGCGGGCUGGCAAGGCGCAU
rnacentral:rRNA from 1 species